rnacentral:rRNA from 1 species
CGAAGGGCUAGCGUUGCUCGGAAUCACUGGGCGUAAAGGGCGCGUAGGCGGACUCUUAAGUCGGGGUGAAGCCCAGGGCUCAACCCUGGAAUUGCCUUCGAUACUGAGAGUCUUGAGUUCGGAAGAGGUUGGUGGAACUGCGAGUGUAGAGGUGAAAUUCGUAGAUAUUCGCAAGAACACCAGUGGCGAAGGCGGCCAACUGGUCCGAUACUGACGCUGAGGCGCGAAAAGCGUGGGGAGCAAACAGGAUU